rnacentral:rRNA from 1 species
UACAGAGGUCUCAAGCGUUGUUCGGAUUCAUUGGGCGUAAAGGGUGCGUAGGUGGCGCCGUAAGUCAGGUGUGAAAUUUCGGAGCUUAACUCCGAAACUGCAUUCGAUACUGCGGUGCUUGAGGACUGGAGAGGAGACUGGAAUUUACGGUGUAGCAGUGAAAUGCGUAGAGAUCGUAAGGAAGACCAGUGGCGAAGGCGGGUCUCUGGACAGUUCCUGACACUGAGGCACGAAGGCCAGGGGAGCAAACGGG